GACGAACGCUGGCGGCGUGCUUAACACAUGCAAGUCGAACGGAAAGGCCCUGCUUUUGUGGGGUGCUCGAGUGGCGAACGGGUGAGUAACACGUGAGUAACCUGCCCUUGACUUUGGGAUAACUUCAGGAAACUGGGGCUAAUACCGGAUAGGAGCUCCUGCUGCAUGGUGGGGGUUGGAAAGUUUCGGCGGUUGGGGAUGGACUCGCGGCUUAUCAGCUUGUUGGUGGGGUAGUGGCUUACCAAGGCUUUGACGGGUAGCCGGCAUGAGAGGGUGACCGGCCACAUUGGGACUGAGAUACGGCCCAGACUCCUACGGGAGGCAGCAGUGGGGAAUAUUGCACAAUGGGCGGAAGCCUAAUGCAGCAACGCCGCGUGCGGGAUGACGGCCUUCGGGUUGUAAACCGCUUUCGCCUGUGACGAAGCGUGAGUGACGGUAAUGGGUAAAGAAGCACCGGCUAACUACGUG
rnacentral:rRNA from 1 species